GAAAUUCCAAUCGAACCCGGAGAUAGCUGGUUCUCCCCGAAAUAGCUUUAGGGCUAGCGUCGAGAGAAGAGUUGCGUGAAGGUAGAGCACUGAAUAUGUGAUGGCCCCAUCUCGGGGUACUGAGCAUAAUCAAACUGCGAAUGUCACGCCAACAUGCUCGGCAGUCAGACAGCGGGUGAUAAGGUCCGUUGUCAAGAGGGAAACAGCCCAGACCAUCAGCUAAGGUCCCAAAAUGUAUGCUAAGUGGAAAAGGAUGUGGAGAUGUACAGACAACUAGGAGGUUGGCUCAGAAGCAGCCAUCCUUUAAAGAGUGCGUAACAGCUCACUAGUCGAAUGACUCUGCGCCGAUAAUUUACCGGGGCUAAGCAUACUACCGAAGCUAUGGAUCCCAAGGGAUGGUAGGGGAGCGUUCCAUGAACGGAGAAGUACGACCGAAAGGACGUGUGGAGAUCAUGGAAGAGAGAAUGCCGGUGUGAGUAGCGGAACGUGGGUGAGAAUCCCACGCACCGAAAACCCAAGGUUUCCAGAGGAAGGUUCGUCCGCUCUGGGUAAGUCGGGACCUAAGGCGAGGCCGAAAGGCGUAGUCGAUGGACAACAGGUAGAGAUUCCUGUACCCGUAUAUAUGUGAAGGAAUGACGGAGAGAGGAAGCUGCAGCCAGCGGCUGGAAGAGCUGGUGCAAGCGAGAUAUCGGGAUGGCAGGCAAAUCCACCAUCCGAAACGAGAAGGCGUGAAGCGUACGGAAAGCUACGGCGAGUACGGAAGGCAGUGGAGGAACUUCCAAGAAAAGUUUCUAACGUUAAGUAUAUAUGGCCCGUACCGAAAAUGGACACACAUGGGUGAGGAGAGAAUCCUAAGGUGAGCGAGAGAACUAUAGCUAAGGAACUCUGCAAAAUGACUCCGUAACUUAGGGAGAAGGAGUGCUCAUAGAGAUAUGAGCCGCAGUGAAACGGCCCAAGCGACUGUUUACCAAAAACACAGCUCUAUGCUAAGUCGAAAGACGAAGUAUAUGGGGUGACGCCUGCCCGGUGCUGGAAGGUUAAGAGGAUGUGUCAGCGCAAGUGAAGCAUUGAAUUGAAGCCCCAGUAAACGGCGGCCGUAACUAUAACGGUCCUAAGGUAGCGAAAUUCCUUGUCAGGUAAGUUCUGACCCGCACGAAAGGCGUAACGAUUUGGGCGCUGUCUCAGCUGUAGACUCGGUGAAGUCUUAGUACCUGUGAAGAUGCAGGUUACCCGCGACUAGACGGAAAGACCCCAUGGAGCUUCACUGCAGGUUGAUAUUGGGAUUUGAUGCAGCAUGUACAGGAUAGGUAGGAGGCAAAGAGAUGGAUACGCCAGUAUUCAAGGAGCCGCUGUUGGGAUACUACCCCUGUUGUAUUGGAUUUCUAACCGGACGACGUAGAGCCGUUGACGGGACAGUGUCAGUCGGGCAGUUUGACUGGGGCGGUCGCCUCCCAAAGAGUAACGGAGGCGCCCAAAGAUACCCUCAGCUUGGAUGGAAACCAAGCGCAGAGUGCAAAGGCAAAAGGGUGUUUGACUGCGAGACCUACAAGUCGAGCAGGGACGAAAGUCGGGCUUAGUGAUCCGGCGGUGCUGAAUGGAAAGGCCGUCGCUCAACGGAUAAAAGCUACCCUGGGGAUAACAGGCUGAUCUCCCCCAAGAGUUCACAUCGACGGGGAGGUUUGGCACCUCGAUGUCGGCUCAUCGCAUCCUGGAGCUGAAGUCGGUUCCAAGGGUUGGGCUGUUCGCCCAUUAAAGCGGUACGCGAGCUGGGUUCAGAACGUCGUGAGACAGUUCGGUCCCUAUCUGUCGUGGGCGCAGGAAAUUUGAGAAGAGCUGUCCUCAGUACGAGAGGACCGGGAUGGACGCAUCAAUGGUGGACCAGUUGUCACGCCAGUGGCAUAGCUGGGUAGCUAAAUGCGGAAGGGAUAAACGCUGAAGGCAUCUAAGUGUGAAACCCACUUCAAGAUGAGAUUUCCCAUUGCGCAAGCAAGUAAGACCCCUUAAAGACGAUAAGGUAGAUAGGUCAGGAGUGUAAGCAUGGUGACAUGUUAAGCGGACUGAUACUAAUAGGUCGAGGGCUUGACCGA
rnacentral:rRNA from 1 species